GUAUAAUAAUGGCAAACUCAUCGAAAGAUGAGGACGCAAAGCUAUGGGUCUGUCAGCGAAAAUUCGCUUGUGAUCGCCAGGUUGCCUUC
rnacentral:ncRNA from 1 species